AGGACGAACGCUGGCGGCGUGCUUAACACAUGCAAGUCGAGCGGAAAGGCCCUUCGGGGUACUCGAGCGGCGAACGGGUGCGUAACACGUGGAUAACCUUCCUUCAGGUGGGGAAUAACCCAGUGAAAAUUGGGCUAAUACCGCAUAACAAAACGAUGAGACAUCUUGUUGUUUUCAAAGGCGCAAGUCGCCAGAAGAGGGAUCCGCGGCCGAUUAGCUUGUUGGCGAGGUAAUGGCUCACCAAGGCAAUGAUCGGUAGCCGGACUGAGAGGUUGCGGCCACGACUGGAACUGAGACACGGUCCAGACUCCUACGGGAGGCAGCAGUGGGGAAUCUUGCACAAUGGGCGAAAGCCUGAUGCAGCAACGCCGCGUGGGGGAUGAAGCUUCUCGGAGUGUAAACCCCUUUGACCCCGGAAGAAAGCCCGCAAGGGUUUGACGGUACGGGUAUAAGAAGCCCCGGCUAACUACGUGCCAGCAGCCGC
rnacentral:rRNA from 1 species